GACGAACGCUGGCGGCGUGGAUAAGGCAUGCAAGUCGAGCGGAGAUGAGGUGCUUGCACCUUAUCUUAGCGGCGGACGGGUGAGUAAUGCUUAGGAAUCUGCCUAUUAGUGGGGGACAACAUUCCGAAAGGAAUGCUAAUACCGCAUACGUCCUACGGGAGAAAGCAGGGGAUCUUCGGACCUUGCGCUAAUAGAUGAGCCUAAGGUGGAUUAGCUAGUUGGUGGGGUAAAGGCCUACCAAGGCGACGAUCUGUAGCGGGUCUGAGAGGAUGAUCCGCCACACUGGGACUGAGACACGGCCCAGACCCCUACGGGAGGCAGCAGUGGGGAAUAUUGGACAAUGGGGGGAACCCUGAUCCAGCCAUGCCGCGUGUGUGAAGAAGGCCUUAUGGUUGUAAAGCACUUUAAGCGAGGAGGAGGCUACUGAGACUAAUACUCUUGGAUAGUGGACGUUACUCGCAGAAUAAGCACCGGCUAACCCUGUGCCAGCAGCCGCCGCUG
rnacentral:rRNA from 1 species